CCUGGAGAGACUAGGGUUAGGUCUGUUCUAAUCUGUCCUGCAGAGACUACGUUUUAAUCUGUUCUAAUCUGUCCUGGAGAGACUAGGGUUAGGUCUGUUCUAAUCUGUCCUGGAGAGGCUAGGGUUAGGUCUGUUCUAAUCUGUCCUGGAGAGACUAGGGUUAGGUCUGAUCUAAUCUGUCCUGGAGAGACUAGGGUUAGGUCUGUUCUAAUCUGUCCUGGAGAGUCUAUGGUUAGGUCUGAUCUAAUCUGUCCUGGAGAGACUAGGGUUAGGUCUGUUCUAAUCUGUCCUGUAGAGACUAGACUUCGGUCUUUUUUAAUCUGUCCUGAGAGACUAGGGUUGAUUUUACUGACAGGUUUGGAGAUGUUGUCAUGGAGUGACUAGGGUUGAUUUUACUGAAAGGUUUGGAGAUGUUGUCAUGGAGUGAGUAGGGUUGAUUUUACUGACAUGUUUGGAGAUGUUGUCAUCGAGUGAGUAGGGUUGAUUUUACUGACAGGUUUGGAGAUGUAGUCAUGGAGUGACUAGGUUUGAUUUUACUGACAGGUUUGGAGAUGUUGUCAUGGAGUGGACUCAGAUCAGUAUUUCUCACCUGUCAUUGACAUCAGAAUACCGUAUGAAAGAAAAGGACCUACAAGACAAGUAAAUAAACCAUGAAUAGUCUGACUAAGAUGUAAAGGACUGGCUGUUCUCUCUAUUUCUUCUCAACAUUUGUAUUUAUUAUUUUCAGUACACAUUUGCCUCAAGGAAAUGUAACCAUAUGACUACCAAUUCAAACUACAUUCGGCAGCUGCAUGCAGCAAGCACAAAAUGUGUCUCAUGGAGCUUUGUCUUUCUCGUGGUGACCAAUCACAUCGUACUUUGUUGACCUCAUAUUAAAUCCCUGACCUCACCAGGGAAUGCCUCCUGGGCUGUGUUCCAAAUAGCAAUCUCUUCCCUUUAUUGUGCAAUACAGGUAGCCUAGUGGUUAGAGCGUUGGGUCAGUAACCGAAAGGUUGCUGGAUUGAAUCCCUGAGCUGACAAGGUACAAAUCUGUUGUUCUGCCCCUGAACAAGGCAUUUAACCCACUGUUCCCUGGUAGGCCGUCGUUGUAACUAACAAUUUGUUCUUAACUGAUUUAUUGAACCUAUUUAAAUAAAGGUUCUAUCAAAAAUAUUUAAAGUAGUGCACUCUAAAGGGAAUAGGGCUCUGGUCUAAAGUAGUGCACUCUAAAGGGAAUAGGGCUCUGGUCUAAAGUAGUGCACUCUAAAGGGAAUAGGGCUCUGGUCAAAAGUAGUGAACUAUGAAGGGAAUAGGGCUCUGGUCUAAAGUAGUGAACUAUGAAGGGAAUAGGGCUCUGGUCAAAAGUAGUGCACUCUAAAGGGAAUAGGGCUCUGGUCUAAAGUAGUGCACUCUAAAGGGAA
rnacentral:lncRNA from 13 species